GAUGAACGCUGGCGGCGUGCCUAAUACAUGCAAGUCGAGCGAACAGACGAGGAGCUUGCUCCUCUGACGUUAGCGGCGGACGGGUGAGUAACACGUGGAUAACCUACCUAUAAGACUGGGAUAACUUCGGGAAACCGGAGCUAAUACCGGAUAAUAUAUUGAACCGCAUGGUUCAAUAGUGAAAGACGGUUUUGCUGUCACUUAUAGAUGGAUCCGCGCCGCAUUAGCUAGUUGGUAAGGUAACGGCUUACCAAGGCAACGAUGCGUAGCCGACCUGAGAGGGUGAUCGCCCACACUGGAACUGAGCCACGGUCCAGACUCCUACGGGAGGCAGCAGUAGGGAAUCUUCCGCAAUGGGCGAAAGCCUGACGGAGCAACGCCGCGUGAGUGAUGAAGGUCUUCGGAUCGUAAAACUCUGUUAUUAGGGAAGAACAAAUGUGUAAGUAACUAUGCACGUCUUGACGGUACCUAAUCAGAAAGCCACGGCUAACUACGUG
rnacentral:rRNA from 1 species